rnacentral:lncRNA from 1 species
GUAGAUACAUGUUUUCAUAAAAUGUUUUAAGGUAUUUCAUGGUUUUAAGUAUGAAAAUUAAAUGAGUUUUUGCAUGAAAAGUCUUUGGAGGAAAACCCAGGUUCGGCCGCCGAAAGUCAAGUUCGGCCGCCGAACAUGCAUGCGUUUUGGAGGCAUGUUAGGCCCCCGAAAGCAUGAGUGAGGGAAGUUCAGGUUCGGCCGCCGAAACCCAAGUUCGGCCGCCGAACAUGGCAUGCAUG